rnacentral:rRNA from 1 species
AUUGAACGCUGGCGGCAGGCCUAACACAUGCAAGUCGAACGAGUGGCGGACGGGUGAGUAAUGUCUGGGAAACUGCCUGAUGGCGGGGGAUAACUACUGGAAACGGUAGCUAAUACCGCAUACCAUCAGAUGUGCCCAGAUGUGAUUAGCUAGUUGGUGGGGUCACGGCUCACCAAGGCGACGAUCCCUAGCUGGUCUGAGAGGAUGACAAGCCACACGAGAACUACGACACGGUCCAGACUCCUACGGGAGGCAGCAGUGGAGAAUAUUGCACAAUGGGCGCAAGCCGGAUGCAGCCAUGCCGCGUGUAUGGAGAAGGCCUUCGGGUUGUAAAGUACUUUCAGCGGGGAGGCGUUACCCACAGAAGAAGCGCCGGCUAACUCCGUGCCAGCAGCCGCGGUAAUUC